CAGUGAAAUUGAACUCGCUGUGAAGAUGCAGUGUACCCGCGGCAAGACGGAAAGACCCCGUGAACCUUUACUAUAGCUUGACACUGAACAUUGAGCCUUGAUGUGUAGGAUAGGUGGGAGGCUUUGAAGUGUGGACGCCAGUCUGCAUGGAGCCGACCUUGAAAUACCACCCUUUAAUGUUUGAUGUUCUAACGUUGGCCCGUAAUCCGGGUUGCGGACAGUGUCUGGUGGGUAGUUUGACUGGGGCGGUCUCCUCCUAAAGAGUAACGGAGGAGCACGAAGGUUGGCUAAUCCUGGUCGGACAUCAGGAGGUUAGUGCAAUGGCAUAAGCCAGCUUGACUGCGAGCGUGACGGCGCGAGCAGGUGCGAAAGCAGGUCAUAGUGAUCCGGUGGUUCUGAAUGGAAGGGCCAUCGCUCAACGGAUAAAAGGUACUCCGGGGAUAACAGGCUGAUACCGCCCAAGAGUUCAUAUCGACGGCGGUGUUUGGCACCUCGAUGUCGGCUCAUCACAUCCUGGGGCUGAAGUAGGUCCCAAGGGUAUGGCUGUUCGCCAUUUAAAGUGGUACGCGAGCUGGGUUUAGAACGUCGUGAGACAGUUCGGUCCCUAUCUGCCGUGGGCGCUGGAGAACUGAGGGGGGCUGCUCCUAGUACGAGAGGACCGGAGUGGACGCAUCACUGGUGUUCGGGUUGUCAUGCC
rnacentral:rRNA from 1 species